rfam:Citrus clementina cultivar Clemenules unplaced genomic scaffold scaffold_9, whole genome shotgun sequence.
AGCCUCGUGGUGAGCACAGUGAUUAGUCUUUCGCCUUUUGCUAAAAAAUACCGUGUGCUCACUAGUUUUAGAAGCACACUCCAAUUUUUGGAGUUUCUACUUCUGGGUAC